UUGGUGGGGUAAUGGCCUACCAAGGCUUUGACGGGUAGCCGGCCUGAGAGGGCGACCGGCCACACUGGGACUGAGACACGGCCCAGACUCCUACGGGAGGCAGCAGUGGGGAAUAUUGCACAAUGGGCGGAAGCCUGAUGCAGCGACGCCGCGUGAGGGAUGACGGCCUUCGGGUUGUAAACCUCUUUCAGCAGGGACGAAGCGCAAGUGACUGUACCUGCAGAAGAAGCACCGGCUAACUACGUGCCAGCAGCCGCGGUAAUACGUAGGGUGCGAGCGUUGUCCGGAUUUAUUGGGCGUAAAGAGCUUGUAGGCGGCUCGUCGCGUCGGGUGUGAAAACUCGCGGCUCAACCGCGAGCCUGCACCCGAUACGGGCGGGCUAGAGUUCGGCAGGGGAGACUGGAAUUCCUGGUGUAGCGGUGGAAUGCGCAGAUAUCAGGAGGAACACCGGUGGCGAAGGCGGGUCUCUGGGCCGAUACUGACGCUGAGAAGCGAAAGCGUGGGGAGCGAACAGGAUUAGAUACCCUGGUAGUCCACGCCGUAAACGUUGGGAACUAGGUGUGGGGUCCAUUCCACGGGCUCUGUGCCGCAGCUAACGCAUUAAGUUCCCCGCCUGGGGAGUACGG
rnacentral:rRNA from 1 species